rnacentral:rRNA from 1 species
UACGUAGGGCGCAAGCGUUGUCCGGAAUUUAUUGGGCGUAAAGAGCUCGUAGGCGGCUUGUCACGCGGUGUGAAAUCCCCGAGGCUCAACCUCGGGUCUGCAGUCGAUACGGGCGGACUGGAGUUCGGCAGGGGAGACUGGAAUUCCUGGUGUAGCGGUGAAAUGCGCAGAUAUCAGGAGGAACACCGGUGGCGAAGGCGGGUCUCUGGGGCCGAUACUGACGCUGAGGAGCGAAAAGCGUGGGGGAGCGAACAGG